rnacentral:rRNA from 1 species
GACGAACGCUGGCGGCGUGCUUAACACAUGCAAGUCGAACGGAAAGGCCCUGCUUUUGUGGGGUGCUCGAGUGGCGAACGGGUGAGUAACACGUGAGUAACCUGCCCUCGACUUUGGGAUAACUUCAGGAAACUGGGGCUAAUACCGGAUAGGAGCUCCUGCUGCAUGGUGGGGGUUGGAAAGUUUCGGCGGUUGGGGAUGGACUCGCGGCUUAUCAGCUUGUUGGUGGGGUAGUGGCUUACCAAGGCUUUGACGGGUAGCCGGCCUGAGAGGGUGACCGGCCACAUUGGGACUGAGAUACGGCCCAGACUCCUACGGGAGGCAGCAGUGGGGAAUAUUGCACAAUGGGCGGAAGCCUGAUGCAGCAACGCCGCGUGCGGGAUGACGGCCUUCGGGUUAUAAACCGCUUUCGCCUGUGACGAAGCGUGAGUGACGGUAAUGGGUAAAGAAGCACCGGCUAACUACGUG